rnacentral:lncRNA from 1 species
UUAAUAUUGACUAAUUGUAUAAUAGUACAUAUUAGUCCACUAUUUACAAUUUAAUACAACGUCUGCAUUUGGACCCUUUCUGUCUACACCGAUUAUUGCGCCUACCUUACACAGAUUUUCUUGGCUUAUUUUAUAAUUACACCAUAUAUCAUUAUUUAUGUCAUUAGUUGAUGAUAUAUAAAUAAAGAGUGUACAGUUCCCGUUUGCUUUUUUCAAGUUAGGAAACUACGUAUAUGUAACAUUAUGAAAAUCUAGAAUAUUUUUAUCCGAGUACUUCGUAUCUAUCUUAAUACUGCAUUUCCAAAAGAGAGUUAAACCACCACUUAAAUUUCUAGGCUCUAUUGUAAUCCCAUCAUAGUCUAACCAUUUCUCUCCAUG